GACAGAGGUGCCGAGCGUUAGGCGGAAUCACUGGGCUUAAAGCGUGUGUAGGCGGACUUCUAAGUACCUUGUGAAAUCCCACAGCUCAACUGUGGAACUGCUCGGUAUACUGGUUGUCUUGAGCCACUUAGGGGCAGUCGGAACAGACGGUGGAGCGGUGAAAUGCGUAGAUAUCAGGAGGAACACCGGUGGCGAAGGCGGGUCUCUGGGCCACUACUGACGCUGAGGAGCGAAAGCGUGGGGAGCAAACAGG
rnacentral:rRNA from 1 species